ensembl:miRNA MIR144 microRNA 144
CCCGCCGCCCUGGGCUGGAUAUCAUCAUAUACUGUAAGUUCACUAUGAGACACUACAGUAUAGAUGAUGUACUCCCCUGGGCUGC